rnacentral:tRNA from 2 species
GCGGGUGUAGCUCAAUCGGUAGAGCGUGACCUUGCCAAGGUCGAGGUAGUGGGUUCGAAACCCAUCUCCCGCU